UACGUAGGGUGCAAGCGUUGUCCGGAAUUACUGGGCGUAAAGCGCACGUAGUCGGCUUUGCAAGUCGGGUGUGAAAUCCCCGGGCUCAACCUGGGAACUGCAUCCGAGACUGCAUUGCUAGAGUAUGGGAGAGGGAAGCGGAAUUUCUGGUGUAGCAGUGAAAUGCGUAGAUAUCAGAAGGAACAUCAGUGGCGAAGGCGGCUUCCUGGACCAAUACUGACGAUCAGGUGCGAAAGCGUGGGGAGCAAACAGG
rnacentral:rRNA from 1 species